GAUCCGGUGACUUUUGACCAUCAGAACUAAUUUUCCGUAGUUCUGGCUGUGCAGGUCCUCCACCUGGUGGAUUUUGACAUCCAGAAAGAGCGCUCCGUAGUUCUGGCUGUCCAGGUCCUUGAUCCGGUGACUUUUGACCUUCAGGACUAAUUUUCCGUAGUUCUGGCUGUCCAGGCCCUCUACCAAAAUAACCCAAAAAGCCGUGAGACCAUAGUGAUGAUUGUCGAGCUCAAACGUAAAAAACAAAAAUUACGUACGCCAUCUUUCCUGUCGAUUCAAGAUUCCAGCAGCGAGGCGCUUCAAUUGCCAUCUAAUAACUUCGCCAUUUUCCGAAAAUUGAUGAUGGGUAGAGUUUUCUUGUACUGUCCAAAUGUGGUCGGCGGUGGUUGUUGGGGGUGGUUGGCGAUGGUUGGAGGUGGUCGGACGUGGACGAGGAGGAGGACGAACUGAACUGAGUCUCAAAGCCCUGUUGACAUGAAAGCAGCUAUUCGAUAGAAAUUAUAGUUUAUAGUUUGC